rnacentral:rRNA from 1 species
GUUUGAAUCCUGGCUCAGGAUGAACGCUGGCGGCGUGCUUAACACAUGCAAGUCGAACGGUGAACCAGGAGCUUGCUCUGUUGGAUCAGUGGCGAACGGGUGAGUAACACGUGAGCAACCUGCCCCUGACUCUGGGAUAAGCGCUGGAAACGGCGUCUAAUACUGGAUAUGUGACGUGACCGCAUGGUCUGCGUUUGGAAAGAUUUUUCGGUUGGGGAUGGGCUCGCGGCCUAUCAGCUUGUUGGUGAGGUAAUGGCUCACCAAGGCGUCGACGGGUAGCCGGCCUGAGAGGGUGACCGGCCACACUGGGACUGAGACACGGCCCAGACUCCUACGGGAGGCAGCAGUGGGGAAUAUUGCACAAUGGGCGAAAGCCUGAUGCAGCAACGCCGCGUGAGGGAUGACGGCCUUCGGGUUGUAAACCUCUUUUAGCAGGGAAGAAGCGAAAGUGACGGUACCUGCAGAAAAAGCGCCGGCUAACUACGUGCCAGCAGCCGCGGUAAUACGUAGGGCGCAAGCGUUAUCCGGAAUUAUUGGGCGUAAAGAGCUCGUAGGCGGUUUGUCGCGUCUGCUGUGAAAUCCCGAGGCUCAACCUCGGGCCUGCAGUGGGUACGGGCAGACUAGAGUGCGGUAGGGGAGAUUGGAAUUCCUGGUGUAGCGGUGGAAUGCGCAGAUAUCAGGAGGAACACCGAUGGCGAAGGCAGAUCUCUGGGCCGUAACUGACGCUGAGGAGCGAAAGGGUGGGGAGCAAACAGGCUUAGAUACCCUGGUAGUCCACCCCGUAAACUUUCGGGAACUAGUUGUGGGGUCCAUUCUCACGGAUUCCUUGACGCAUCUAACGCAUUCCGUUCCCCGCCUGGGGAGUACGGCCGCAAGGCUAAAACUCAAAGGAAUUGACGGGGACCCGCACAAGCGGCGGAGCAUGCGGAUUAAUUCGAUGCAACGCGAAGAACCUUACCAAGGCUUGACAUAUACGAGAACGGGCCAGAAAUGGUCAACUCUUUGGACACUCGUAAACAGGUGGUGCAUGGUUGUCGUCAGCUCGUGUCGUGAGAUGUUGGGUUAAGUCCCGCAACGAGCGCAACCCUCGUUCUAUGUUGCCAGCACGUAAUGGUGGGAACUCAUGGGAUACUGCCGGGGUCAACUCGGAGGAAGGUGGGGAUGACGUCAAAUCAUCAUGCCCCUUAUGUCUUGGGCUUCACGCAUGCUACAAUGGCCGGUACAAAGGGCUGCAAUACCGUGAGGUGGAGCGAAUCCCAAAAAGCCGGUCC